rnacentral:lncRNA from 1 species
AAAGUAUCAAAAAAUGAACACAAAUAAAAUUAUAUAUGGACCCAAAAUAAUCCAAACGCUAGACUAAUAACUCACGCCUCUCCCCUCUCCUCCUCUUCUUCACUCCCGACCAAAAGUUUUAAUUCUCCAUAUUUUGCCCAAUUAAUUUGCUCACGUUCAGCCCCAAUAGAAGGUCUUAGUGUUGAUUGAGGGUGCAAAAACGAUGUUCUUUCUCUUCGAGAUCUUUUUUUGGAUAAUAUAAGGUACAUAGAUGAGCAGAACAGCGCUGCGAAUCGGACCUAUAAACUGGGUUUGAACUGAUUCACUGAUCUCAGCAAUGAGGAGUACCGAUCCAUGUAUUUGUGUGCGAAAAUCGGUGAUAGGAAGACGAAGAGUGAUCGGGACGGUAUAAACUGAAAGACGGCAACAACUUGCCAAAUUCCAUUGACUGGAGAGACAAAGGCCCUGUCCCUCCAGUGAAAGAUCAAGGGAGCUGUGGUAAGCCCUUUUAUUUAUUAUUCCAUAGAAAAGUUCUCAAUUAGAUUUUAUACUGCUUUAAAGUUUAGUGCAAAUCAGUCCAUUUUGUUGAGUAAAAAAAAAAAAAAAAAAAAAUGAAACUAGUCCAAAUUAAUUCAUUUUAUGGUGAUUAGGCUUAAUCGGUGGGCUUAGUGGGAAAUUAUGGUUGUUCUGUCGAAUAACUUGGUCCAGUAAGUAAUUGAACAUAAUAGAGUAGAAAAAACCGUUGAGGCUGGAGAAAUGGGGUUCCCUGUCUCUUGUUGGAUACCAAUAUAUGUUAAGAGUGACAAAAUUCAAUUACGGUUGAUCUACCUCCAUGGUUUGCUUAUGAUUAUAUAGAGAUUGGUAACUUUAAUCCUCUUUGGUGUUUCUGCGGAUGGUAUUUUUAGCCUUGGCCUUUGCUCAGAGUGAGGUAUUGUGGUAUUUCUAGCACCUUUGAAUAGCUUCAUCAAAAUCAAAAGCAGCCCAAGUUGUUCCAGUAGAAAUUGUAAGGAAAUUACAUAUUUUAAGGGGGUUAGUGGAAUACAACUUUGUAAUGUGUAUUAUAUCUCUUAGUUAUAGAGCAUAUCACGUCAAAAUGCAACCCUUUUUGAUGUUUGGUUCAUGGAUGAGGGAUGCAAAUGAUCCAACUAUUGGGUUCUUAUUGGAUGGAAUGGACCAUCUUUGUUGUCUAGUGUGGAAGUACAUUACAGGUCAGAUACCCUUACUAAAGCCAAAAUAAUAAUAAUAAUAAGAACAAUAAUAAUAAUAAUAACAAUAAGAAUAACAAUAACAAUAAUA